CGUAUCAGCAACCAGGUGAUGAAAGGUACAAUUAACAAUUUUAUCCUUCGGCAACUUGCCACUUUCCCAUAACCUAGAUAAUGAAAGAAUCACCUUCAUAUCACCAACUAGGUGAUGAAGAGUACAACCAGUACUCAACUCUUCUCACCAACCCUGGUGAUGAAGGAACUUACCUUCUUUUCCCCAACUAGGCGAGGAAUGGUACAACUCGUAGUUAUGGACUUUUAGCAUUCAUAAAAAACCGAAAACCUUCAAGCCUUACAACUUAGAAAAGGCAUAGACAAGCUCAACUGAACCAAACUAGGGGAGCACUUAAAGCCAACAAAGGUUAUAGUCAACAAAAAAGUGUUAUUACAAAUCAACAAUGGUUUUAACAAUGUGCAAUGAAGGGAAAAUUAUGAGUUUUCACAUAUAGGGAUUUCAAAAUGACUAUCAUGCAUAUACAAAUCAAAUUUAAUAUACGAAAGCAGCGGAAGCAUUUAUAACAAAUUAUCA
rnacentral:lncRNA from 1 species